rnacentral:rRNA from 2 species
ACUGGCAGGCUAGAGUCUUGUAGAGGGGGGUAGAAUUCCAGGUGUAGCGGUGAAAUGCGUAGAGAUCUGGAGGAAUACCGGUGGCGAAGGCGGCCCCCUGGACAAAGACUGACGCUCAGGUGCGAAAGCGUGGGGAGCAAACAGGAUUAGAUACCCUGGUAGUCCACGCCGUAAACGAUGUCGAUUUGGAGGUUGUGCCCUUGAGGCGUGGCUUCCGGAGCUAACGCGUUAAAUCGACCGCCUGGGGAGUACGGCCGCAAGGUUAAAACUCAAAUGAAUUGACGGGGGCCCGCACAAGCGGUGGAGCAUGUGGUUUAAUUCGAUGCAACGCGAAGAACCUUACCUGGUCUUGACAUCCACAGAACUUUCCAGAGAUGGA